GACGAACGCUGGCGGCGUGCUUAACACAUGCAAGUCGAACGGAAAGGCCCUGCUUUUGUGGGGUGCUCGAGUGGCGAACGGGUGAGUAACGCGUGAGUAACCUGCCCUUGACUUUGGGAUAACUUCAGGAAACUGGGGCUAAUACCGGAUAGGAGCUCCUGCUGCAUGGUGGGGGCUGGAAAGUUUCGGCGGUUGGGGAUGGACUCGCGGCUUAUCAGCUUGUUGGUGGGGUAGUGGCUUACCAAGGCUUUGACGGGUAGCCGGCCUGAGAGGGUGACCGGCCACAUUGGGACUGAGAUACGGCCCAGACUCCUACGUGAGGCAGCAGUGGGGAAUAUUGCACAAUGGGCGGAAGCCGGAUGCAGCAACGCCGCGUGCGGGAUGACGGCCUUCGGGUUGUAAACCGCUUUCGCCUGUGACGAAGCGUGAGUGACGGUAAUGGGUAAAGAAGCACCGGCUAACUACGUG
rnacentral:rRNA from 1 species